rnacentral:rRNA from 1 species
UACGUAGGGGGCUAGCGUUAUCCGGAUUUAUUGGGCGUAAAGAGCGUGUAGGCGGCCAGGUAGGUCUGCUGUGAAAACUCGAGGCUCAACCUCGAGACGUCGGCGGAAACCAUCUGGCUAGAGUCCGGAAGAGGAGAGUGGAAUUCCUGGUGUAGCGGUGGAAUGCGCAGAUAUCAGGAAGAACACCAGCGGCGAAGGCAGCUCGCUGGGACGGUACUGACGCUGAGACGCGAAAGCGUGGGGAGCGAACAGG